rnacentral:rRNA from 1 species
AGAUUAAGUUAUUAAGGGCGCACGGUGGAUGCCUUGGCACUAGAAGCCGAUGAAGGACGUUACUAACGACGAUAUGCUUUGGGGAGCUGUAAGUAAGCUUUGAUCCAGAGAUUUCCGAAUGGGGAAACCCAGCAUGAGUUAUGUCAUGUUAUCGAUAUGUGAAUACAUAGCAUAUCAGAAGGCACACCCGGAGAACUGAAACAUCUUAGUACCCGGAGGAAGAGAAAGAAAAUUCGAUUCCCUUAGUAGCGGCGAGCGAAACGGGAAGAGCCCAAACCAACAAGCUUGCUUGUUGGGGUUGUAGGACACUCUAUACGGAGUUACAAAGGACGACAUUAGACGAAUCAUCUGGAAAGAUGAAUCAAAGAAGGUAAUAAUCCUGUAGUCGAAAAUGUUGUCUCUCUUGAGUGGAUCCUGAGUACGACGGAGCACGUGAAAUUCCGUCGGAAUCUGGGAGGACCAUCUCCUAAGGCUAAAUACUCUCUAGUGACCGAUAGUGAACCAGUACCGUGAGGGAAAGGUGAAAAGCACCCCGGAAGGGGAGUGAAAUAGAACCUGAAACCGUGUGCUUACAAGUAGUCAGAGCCCGUUAAUGGGUGAUGGCGUGCCUUUUGUAGAAUGAACCGGCGAGUUACGAUUUGAUGCAAGGUUAAGCAGUAAAUGUGGAGCCGUAGCGAAAGCGAGUCUGAAUAGGGCGUUUAGUAUUUGGUCGUAGACCCGAAACCAGGUGAUCUACCCUUGGUCAGGUUGAAGUUCAGGUAACACUGAAUGGAGGACCGAACCGACUUACGUUGAAAAGUGAGCGGAUGAACUGAGGGUAGCGGAGAAAUUCCAAUCGAACCUGGAGAUAGCUGGUUCUCUCCGAAAUAGCUUUAGGGCUAGCCUCAAGUGAUGAUUAUUGGAGGUAGAGCACUGUUUGGACGAGGGGCCCCUCUCGGGUUACCGAAUUCAGACAAACUCCGAAUGCCAAUUAAUUUAACUUGGGAGUCAGAACAUGGG